AAUUACAGAGACGUGUAGCUUGAUUUGCAGCAGUUAUAUUUGUAACUAUUUUAUUUCAUAGCUAGAAGUGAGACUUCAAAUAAUCCUAUAUAUAGGAUAUAUUAGAGUCAAGACUCUUAACUCGACUAUAAUAUUUUCGGCGGUGGCUAGUUAGGCCUAAGAAGUUAAAAAAAUUAAAUAUAUUAGGACUAGAGUAGCCAUAGAAUGAGUGACACUUUGGGAAAUGAGGCAUCACGGUUAGUAUCAAAGCGAAUUACCAGUUAGAAGUGUAAGAUGAGUCUCGGUUAAGUAAGAUUAUAUAGUGAAGAGAGCGAGACUCUCAUACUGAUUACUAUUGUAGGUGAAGUAUGGCUCACCAUAAGAUCCGCUAAAACUAGCAAGACGCGUCUCACAACGCUGGCUAUAAUAUUUUGGACGGUAGUUAAAUUCAAGAAGUUGAGAAAGUUAAAUGUAUUAGGACUAAAAUAGUCAUAGAAUGAAUGAUAUCUUGAAAAGUAGAGCGUCACAAUAUAUGUAAUUGAGAGUGCAAAGUUAUCGAUAUUUUUGUUCG
rnacentral:lncRNA from 1 species